AUGUUUUUCCUAGUUUUCCUGGUCUUUCACUCACAGUCCUCCUCAUUCCCAGCAGGCGGCACAAAGAUCACCCUCCUCGGCCCUCGGACGCGUAUAGUCCUCGCGGGGCACGACCUCAAACUCAAUUUCAACAUUACAUUACCGCCGAACACCACCAUGGACAACCUGAGGUGCUACAACAGCGACGGGCAUGUGUACUCGUACAAAUCGAAAGAAGAGGAACAGGAGGUGCUGCUUCGCUUCACCGACAGCCGCCAGUCCGGCGUGUACCACUGCAAGUGCAAACAUGCCAUCGUGUACCUGGCCGUACUUGUGCGUGACAAGGGCUUUGAAGAGACGUACCACGGUCUAGGGGAUGAGGUCGUCGCCCCUGUGGCCAUCCUGACUGUGCUACUUGUCAUCUUCAGCACUCUAGGAUCUGUUUACAUAUGCAAGACCCUGGAGUCUCGCCCGGCAUCGAUUUAUGAAGUGUUGGAUCCAUCAGCGUCAAACAGCGGGACACAAUCAAAGAAAAAGAGCAAGAAGGGGUCAAAGAAAAAGGUUAGUCACGGACGAAACAUACAGAAUUAGAAUGGGGUUAACCUCUGUUCAAAGGCAUAGCUAGAAUUGUUUGGGUCUCCUGAAGAUUAUCAGCAUCUAAAGUCUCUAGGGAGAUGCCUGCCGUAUUCAGCAU
rnacentral:lncRNA from 1 species